rnacentral:rRNA from 1 species
CUCAUUAAAUCAGUUAUCGUUUAUUUGAUAGUACCUUACUACUUGGAUAACCGUGGUAAUUCUAGAGCUAAUACAUGCUAAAAAUCCCGACUUACGGAGGGAUGUAUUUAUUAGAUUAAAAACCAAUGCCCUUCGGGGCUCUUUGGUGAUUCAUAAUAACUUUUCGAAUCGCAUGGCCUUGUGCCGGCGAUGGUUCAUUCAAAUUUCUGCCCUAUCAACUUUCGAUGGCAGGGUAUUGGCCUGCCAUGGUUACAACGGGUAACGGAGGGUUAGGGCUCGACCCCGGAGAAGGAGCCUGAGAAACGGCUACUACAUCCAAGGAAGGCAGCAGGCGCGCAAAUUACCCAAUCCCGAUACGGGGAGGUAGUGACAAUAAAUACUGAUACAGGGCUCUUUUGGGUCUUGUAAUUGGAAUGAGUACAAUUUAAAUCCCUUAACGAGGAACAAUUGGAGGGCAAGUCUGGUGCCAGCAGCCGCGGUAAUUCCAGCUCCAAUAGCGUAUAUUAAAGUUGUUGCAGUUAAAAAGCUCGUAGUUGAACCUUGGGCCUGGCUGGCCGGUCCGCCUCACCGCGUGCACUGGUUCGGCCGGGUCUUUCCCUCUGGGGAACCCCAUGCCCUUUACUGGGUGUGGUGGGAAACCAGAACUUUUACUGUGAAAAAAUUAGAGUGUUCAAAGCAGGCCUAUGCUCGAAUACAUUAGCAUGGAAUAAUAGAAUAGGACGUGUGGUUCUAUUUUGUUGGUUUCUAGGACCGCCGUAAUGAUUAAUAGGGACAGUCGGGGGCAUCAGUAUUCAAUUGUCAGAGGUGAAAUUCUUAGAUUCAUUGAAGACUAACAACUGUGAAAGCAUUUGCCAAGGAUGUUUUCAUUAAUCAGGAACGAAAGUUAGGGGAUCGAAGACGAUCAGAUACCGUCGUAGUCUUAACCAUAAACUAUGCCGACUAGGGAUUGGACGAUGUUAUUUUUUGACUCGUUCAGCACCUUACGAGAAAU